UACGUAGGUUGCGAGCGUUGUCCGGAUUUACUGGGCGUAAAGCGCGCGCAGGCGGAUUCGAAAGUCCACGGUGAAAGCUCCCGGCCCAACUGGGAGAGGCCCGUGGAAACUCCGGAUCUUGAAGGCAGGAGAGGCAAAUGGAAUUUCCGGUGUAGCGGUAAAAUGCGUAGAUACCGGAAGGAACACCAGUGGCGAAGGCGAUUUGCUGGCCUGUUCUUGACGCUCAGGCGCGAAAGCUAGGGGAGCGACCGGG
rnacentral:rRNA from 1 species